AUGAAGAGAUUUUGCCCCAAAGCUUCGUUUGUAUUGUUUUUGUGUGCAUUUGCUUCUCAAGAACAAUGCAAUCAAGAGAAUGAUUCUGAUUGUUGUGUACAAGGGGAAAAAAAAAACAUUACCAUCAAUGCUAAUGGAAAAAAUGUGGUGGCCAUGGUUGUUGACGAGUGUGACUCCACAAAGGGAUUCGAUAAAGAUCAUGAUUACCAACCUCCAUGUCCAAAGAACAUUGUUUGA